AGCAUUAUACCGUGAAACUGCGAAUGGCUCAUUAAAUCAGUUAUCGUUUAUUUGAUAGUACCUUACUACUUGGAUAACCGUGGUAAUUCUAGAGCUAAUACAUGCUGAAAACCCCAACUUCGGGAGGGGUGUAUUUAUUAGAUAAAAAACCAACGCCCUUCGGGGCUUCUUGGUGAUUCAUGAUAACUUCACGGAUCGCAUGGCCUUGCGCCGGCGACGGUUCAUUCAAAUUUCUGCCCUAUCAACUUUCGAUGGUAAGGUAUUGGCUUACCAUGGUUUCAACGGGUAACGGGGAAUUAGGGUUCGAUUCCGGAGAGGGAGCCUGAGAAACGGCUACCACAUCCAAGGAAGGCAGCAGGCGCGCAAAUUACCCAAUCCCGACACGGGGAGGUAGUGACAAUAAAUACUGAUACAGGGCUCUUUUGGGUCUUGUAAUUGGAAUGAGUACAAUUUAAACCUCUUAACGAGGAACAAUUGGAGGGCAAGUCUGGUGCCAGCAGCCGCGGUAAUUCCAGCUCCAAUAGCGUAUAUUAAAGUUGUUGCAGUUAAAAAGCUCGUAGUUGAAACUUGGGCCUGGCUGGCAGGUCCGCCUCACCGCGUGUACUUGUCCGGCCGGGCCUUUCCUUCUGGAGAACCUCAUGCCCUUCACUGGGUGUGCUGGGGAACCAGGACUUUUACUUUGAAAAAAUUAGAGUGUUCAAAGCAGGCCUUUGCUCGAAUACGUUAGCAUGGAAUAAUAGAAUAGGACGUGCGGUCCUAUUUUGUUGGUUUCUAGGACCGCCGUAAUGAUUAAUAGGGACAGUCGGGGGGCAUCAGUAUUCAAUUGUCAGAGGUGAAAUUCUUGGAUUUAUUGAAGACUAACUACUGCGAAAGCAUUUGCCAAAGGAUGUUUUCAUUAAUCAGUGA
rnacentral:rRNA from 1 species